rnacentral:rRNA from 1 species
UACAGAGGUCCCAAGCGUUGUUCGGAUUUACUGGGCGUAAAGGGCGCGUAGGCGGCGCGGUAAGUCACUUGUGAAAUCUCUGAGCUUAACUCAGAACGGUCAAGUGAUACUGCUGUGCUAGAGUGCGGAAGGGGCAAUCGGAAUUCUCGGUGUAGCGGUGAAAUGCGUAGAUAUCGAGAGGAACACCUGAGGUGAAGACGGGUUGCUGGGCCGACACUGACGCUGAUGCGCGAAAGCCAGGGGAGCAAACGGG